rnacentral:tRNA from 1 species
GCGUCAGCGGUGUAAUGGUCAGCAUGGUUGCCUUCCAAGCAAUUGACGGGGGGUCUGGUUCCCCCUUAACACA